UAUGCCGGGAACUCAUGCGAGACUGCCGGUGUCAAACCGGAGGAAGGUGGGGAUGACGUCAAGUCAUCAUGCCCNUUAUGCCCUGGGCUGCACACGUGCUACAAUGGCCGGUACAGAGGGCUGCGAUACCGCGAGGUGGAGCGAAUCCCAAAAAGCCGGUCUAAGUUCGGAUUGGAGGCUGCAACUCGCCUUCAUGAAGUCGGAGUCGCUAGUAAUCGCGAAUCAGCAAUGUCGCGGUGAAUACGUUCCCGGGCCUUGUACACACCGCCCGU
rnacentral:rRNA from 1 species